rnacentral:rRNA from 1 species
UGAGGAAUGUUNNGUCAAUGGACGAGAGUCUGAACCAGCCAAGUAGCGUGCAGGAUGACGGCCCUAUGGGUUGUAAACUGCUUUUGUAUGGGGAUAAAGUCAAUCACGUGUGAUUGUUUGCAGGUACCAUACGAAUAAGGACCGGCUAAUUCCGUGCCAGCAGCCGCGGUAAUACGGAAGGUCCGGGCGUUAUCCGGAUUUAUUGGGUUUAAAGGGAGCGUAGGCCGGAGAUUAAGUGUGUUGUGAAAUGUAGACGCUCAACGUCUGACUUGCAGCGCAUACUGGUUUCCUUGAGUACGCACAACGUUGGCGGAAUUCGUCGUGUAGCGGUGAAAUGCUUAGAUAUGACGAAGAACUCCGAUUGCGAAGGCAGCUGACGGGAGCGCAACUGACGCUUAAGCUCGAAGGUGCGGGUAUCGAACAGGAUUAGAUACCCUGGUAGUCCGCACAGUAAACGAUGGAUGCCCGCUGUUGGUACCUGGUAUCAGCGGCUAAGCGAAAGCAUUAAGCAUCCCACCUGGGGAGUACGCCGGCACGGUG